UACAGAGGUCUCAAGCGUUGUUCGGAUUCAUUGGGCGUAAAGGGUGCGUAGGUGGUGCCGUAAGUCAGGUGUGAAAUCUCGGGGCUCAACCCCCGAAACUGCACUUGAUACUGCGGUGCUUGAGGACUGGAGAGGAGAUCGGAAUUCAUGGUGUAGCAGUGAAAUGCGUAGAUAUCAUGAGGAAGACCAGUGGCGAAGGCGGAUCUCUGGACAGUUCCUGACACUGAGGCACGAAGGCCAGGGGAGCAAACGGG
rnacentral:rRNA from 1 species